AGAAAUAAUCUAGUCUUAAUUAAAGAUAUUGAAUUUAACUUUUAAGUGAAAAGGCUUAAAUGAUCUGAAGGGACGAUAAGACCCUAUAAAACUUUAUAUUUAAGAGUAGAAAUUAGUUUUAUUUAGAGGCUGCUGUUUUAUAAUAUUUGGUUGGGGCGACAGGGAUAGAAGAAGGAGUAACUGUCUUUUUUUUUUACAAAGAUAUUUGGUUUAAUGAUCCUAAAAUGGAUUAAAGAUUAAGUUACUUUAGGGAUAACAGCGUAAUUUUCUUUAAGAGUUCUUAUCGACAGGAAAGUUUGCGACCUCGAUGUUGAAUUAAAGGUUCUUUAUAGAGUAGAAACUAUAAUAGAAGGUCUGUUCGACCUUUAAAAUUUU
rnacentral:rRNA from 1 species